ACGACGAUACUCCACCAGCUAAUGGCAAUAUCAAAGGUGCAUACAAAAUGGGCUGAGAGACUCUUCGUCCAGCCUAUCCACGGCGUCUGGUAUUCGCAGCUUGCGUAUGACGGUGACGGCGCGGAUCGGUGGCCGCGUACGGGCCAGUGACACCACUGCCACUGAACGAUACUCGACGUUGGCAGGAGUUGGGCUUAUACUAAGUAUAUUCACUACGAAGUUCGUGCUUACGAAUCCGUCCCGUUACCGGAUAUUCCAUUCCCCAAUUGGUCCAUGUAUGUGUAUGCAUGAACGUUUUCCUGUGCAGUUUGUAGCGGUACGAGUUAUAUAUACGCUACGAAAAAGCGUCCACAGUCAAAACCAUACGCAUCAUCCUCGCGUGACCCAGCUAACGUCAAUGAAGCCGUCUAUGGUGGCACAAAAAAAAACUGACGCUGGCUGCUGGGCAAAGACUGCGCUUAAGACCGGGACACCAGUGGAAAGUGUUAAUGCACCGAUAGAUGUAGCAGGACAUUGAUGAUUCUAUCGCUUUUACGCUUAAAGUAUCAACUGCUAGUUGGCCUAUGGAUAAACUUGAUGGCUUCUCAGGAGAGACGUUCUAGGAAAAUUUCUUAUCGAUACUCAGCCUUACGAAUUUCGUAACGAGAGGACGUUGAAGCGGAAAACGGCAAUUGCCAACACACAGCAGGAACCAUCGGCAAAAUUGGACGUAUCGAUGACUUCGACGAACGCUGUCGCACAUGGUGUACACAGGUGGAAUUUCUUCUAUAAUACAAUCUGCAUAGCCAUUGUGGCGGACCCCCUGUCGGCAGAUGCAUCACCGGCUUGCUAUCUACUCCAUUGUAAAUAGCCUAUAUAUAACAUCGUAAUUUAGAAACGAGCAGCUGAUACCGCGAUGAAAGUAAGCCAGUAUCAGGCGUCCAGUACUCGUGAUGAUGCAGAACUAACGUACUAAACAUAAAAACACGUGAACUUGUCUAGAUCGCAAGCUUGACGUUAACAAACAUGCUUUGUUUCCAACGGAACGGGAACGGCCAAUUUUCUGACGCACUAAUGUUUACGUAAGCCAUUAAUACCUGACAGUAAAUUGUACGUCUAUCAGCUUGUGUAGA